CCCCAUCCGACCCGUCUUGAAACACGGACCAAGGAGUCUGACAUGCGUGCGAGUCGACGGGUUUUGAAACCUGGGAUGCGCAAGGAAGCUGACGAGCGGGAGGCCCUCACGGGCCGCACCGCUGGCCGACCCUGGGCUUCUGUGAAGGGUUCGAGUUGGAGCACGCCUGUCGGGACCCGAAAGAUGGUGAACUAUGCCUGAGCGGGGCGAAGCCAGAGGAAACUCUGGUGGAGGCUCGAAGCGAUACUGACGUGCAAAUCGUUCGUCUGACUUGGGUACAGGGGCGAAAGACUAAUCGA
rnacentral:ncRNA from 1 species